GACGAACGCUGGCGGCGUGCUUAACACAUGCAAGUCGAACGGAAAGGCCCUGCUUUUGUGGGGUGCUCGAGUGGCGAACGGGUGAGUAACACGUGAGUAACCUGCCCUUGACUUUGGGAUAACUUCAGGAAACUGGGGCUAAUACCGGAUAGGAGCUCCUGCUGCAUGGUGGGGGUUUGAAAGUUUCGGCGGUUGGGGAUGGACUGGCGGCUUAUCAGCUUGUUGGUGGGGUAGUGGCUUACCAAGGCUUUGACGGGUAGCCGGCCUGAGAGGGUGACCGGCGACAAGGGGACUGAGGUACGGCGCAGACGCGUACGGGAGGCAGCGGGGGGGAGUAUGGCACAGUGGGCGGAAGCCUGAUGAAGCAACGCUGCGUGCGGGAUGACGGCCUUCGGGUUGUAAACCGCUUUCGCUUGUGACGAAGCGUGAGUGACGGUAAUGGGUAAAGAAGCACCGGCUAACUACGUG
rnacentral:rRNA from 1 species